AUUGAACGCUGGCGGCAUGCCUUACACAUGCAAGUCGAACGGUAGCGGGCCUUCGGGUGCCGACGAGUGGCGAACGGGUGAGUAAUGUAUCGGAACGUACCUUUCAGUGGGGGAUAACGUAGCGAAAGUUACGCUAAUACCGCAUAUUCUGUGCGCAGGAAAGCAGGGGAUCGCAAGACCUUGCGCUGAUUGGGCGGCCGAUAUCAGAUUAGCUAGUUGGUGGGGUAAAGGCUCACCAAGGCGACGAUCUGUAGCGGGUCUGAGAGGAUGAUCCGCCACACUGGAACUGAGACACGGUCCAGACUCCUACGGGAGGCAGCAGUGGGGAAUUUUGGACAAUGGGGGCAACCCUGAUCCAGCCAUGCCGCGUGAGUGAAGAAGGCCUUCGGGUUGUAAAGCUCUUUCGGCCGGGAAGAAAUCGCAUGGGCUAAUACCCUGUGCGGAUGACGGUACCGGCAUAAGAAGCACCGGCUAACUACGUGCCAGCCGCCGCCGUAACAC
rnacentral:rRNA from 1 species